CCGAGCAGCGCAGUACUGCUUGCAUCGCGCUCUGCGUUUCGAUGUGUUUUUGGUAGACUAGUGCAUCCACCCACGGUACCGAGAUACCAGUCGACUCGUGAAGAUACAAGGAACACGGGUGUGCUGCCCACUUGGCCCUCGGUGACGCUCGUGAGGUCCAGCGAUCCUACAAAGCCGGACUACGGGGCGGCGUCGGUGAACCGACGCCAGCUCGGCGUCGGUAACCCGACGCCAGCUCGGCGCAGCAGCCGGUGCUGCUCCGACGCGUGAGGAACGCGAACGGCAGCAACCGUUCUGCCUGGGCAUGGCUACGGGAACGCUUAGCGAACUUCAGACGACGACGAGAAUGCAAGGUGAGACAACACCAGCAGAAAACAUGGAUGCCACAAAUGUAGACAGAACAGAAGACGGCAUAACAGGCUCCGCUCGCCACAACGCCGGGGAACGCCAGCGGACGGACGACGACUGGCAGACAGUCCUGACACUACGGCAAAAGAAGCAGCAGGCUCGAGAGCGCAAGCGACAAACGGACUCAACGGGCAGCACUAACCCGGCGAAACUAAAGAAACGACGAAGAGGCAUACCCAAACUUCCUCCUCUUCCUAAGGAUGACUUCAAGAUAGUUAUCCGACCACACCAGGGACUGCCUUUGAAGACUAUCAGCACGCCGGCCCUCGCCGAAGCGAUCGUCAUGGCCUGCGACUACCAAAUAAGAGGUGAGCAAUUUUUGCUCCGUAUAAAGCCCGGCUCCAAUAUCGCCAUACUUUCGACAUCGAGUCAGGAGGUCGCGGAGCAGGCACGCCGAGUCCACUCCCUCACUAUCAACGGACGUUCGCAUGACGUUAACGUAUACGCUGCCACCGGAGAGGAAGCUAUCCGAGGAGUUAUACACGGACUUCCACCCCGAACGCCACCGGAGACCAUCAUAGCAAACAUACGUAUACGGACUCAAGGCGUCGAACUUAUCCAAGCAAGAAUGAUCGGAGAAACAAAGAGUGCCGCCCUUACUUUCUGCGGCCCGUCACUACCUCGGGUGGUGUACUACAACGGAGGCGAACUCCUGUGUCAUCCUUACCGUGCUACUGUUCAGGUGUGCAAAACAUGCCAUGGAAAAGGGCAUCGGACAGACGUCUGUCCACAGCCGGACCUGCGAGUGUGCCGAAAUUGUGGACUCAGAAACCCAGUGGACGGACACCCGUGUGAGCCAAAGUGUGCCUCGUGUGAGGGUGCCCACGUCACCGGGGACCGCAGCUGCCAACGACGCCUCAAGCAACCGAAAAAACCUCAAGUCAGAAAGAGCACUGACAAGUGCAAUGAAGGGCAGAAAACACCUCGCUGGUUCGCCUCAGAGGAUGAGGAAUCGGACUACAUAAACGGCCAUAGGAGCGACCAACGCGACCGACAGGGAAGGACGAGAUCGCCAUCUCCACACCGACUGAACGCUCGGUCCCGAUCAGCGUCACCUCACCGGAGCAGAUCCCGCUCUCGAGCACGAGAGCGCGUCCAGGGAGGAGAAGCAAGACAGACGCGACGAUCAUCCAGAGAAGCACCGAAGGCGGCCGGCGUUCUGUCAAAUCCACAGGAUUUCCAAGGGCACGUGCUGAAUGACCCUACGAAAGACUUGGCAGAGGAUAUCGCGAAUGAAGAGGAAUGCCUGGUGCUGCAGCCACAUCGCCAGUCGUCCCGGAGGCGUGAGCUUGAGAUUGCCUGAGCUGCUCUGGCUGAGACGCGCUGCCUGCUGCUCUCUUGCACUGUAUGUAUAUUAGAUUCUGGUGGAGGUGCUGUGGUUUUCCACCAACCUGGAAUUACGCACCCAAACUCUGCCAUCCAUCAUGCCUGACGACCGCAGCCCGACAUACCCACCGGUUACUUCAGCCAUCGUUUCCAUCCCCUGUCCCAUCCCAAGACCUUACACGAGACGAAAACGGCUGGAACCAGCUCAGCACGCUAGGUACUAUUCCACCUAUUUGGUGGUCCCGUUAAUGUAGUGCAAGCAUUCGUACCUCCGCAAAUGCAUACACGUUUUUCUUUCUAGCUUGUAUCAAAAUCGACCUGAGAAUUAAAUUGUUUUCGCAAUCGUUCGAAUAGUCCCGACAUAAUACACAAGGCACAUUGCAGGAUUACUGGCUGCAAAAAUUUCACAAGUUAGCAUGCCCAGCUGAUAAAAUAAAAACGUAGUUCAGACACUGCCGAGCAACAGCUCCAGUGCUUUCGAAUUCCACCAUUUUAAGGCAUAGGUUUGUUACACUAGAAGUCUUUUUCUAGCACUCAUGUGCAGCAGUGCUUUUGUUGGGAAUAGAAUGGGUGUGUGCAGAAUUGACGAGCCAAAACACCUGCAGAAGAAAAUUGGGCAACUUCCCAUUGUGUGCAUAACAACGUCACUACAGUGUCGAUUCCCCCAAAAAGAGGAACGGCUCUUGAACACAUUGUAGUGUUUAUAGCAUCAUAUAUUCUGAAAAUUGAUUUAUGUUGAUCUCAGUCGACUUAAUGUGGCAGACAAUGACUGGGCAGGCUCGACUCGCUGCAAAUGCCCUAAUACUGAAAAAUUCAUUUCAAUUCCUUAUCAAGGAAAGGUCGAGUGCAUUGCCAUCAGAGCACAAAAAUCUGUAAACCUUCGUGCUUAUUGUGCAAGGAAAAUUAAAUUUUGGGGUUUUACGUAUGUGCCAAAACCACGAUCUGAUUAUGAGGCACGCCAUUGCGAGGGACCCUGGAUUAAUUUUGGACCAUCUGCAGUUCUCUUAACGUGUCCCCAAUGCAUGGUACACUGGCUUUUUCGCAUUUAAUUCCCACUGAAACCAAGGAAACUUGCAUGCACUGAACACUUGAUUUUAUUGGCUCUGUGCAACUGCAGUUCGGUGUGGUACAGUCAUAAGCAUUAG